rnacentral:lncRNA from 1 species
AAAAAUAGCCAGGACAGGAGUUUUGAGUAAAAAAAAAGGCAGGAUGAGACACUUGCAAAAAAAAAAGUCAGGACGACAAUUUAGGUAAAAAAAGUCAGGAUAAACUAAAAAAAAAAAAAAGCAGGACCGAACAGAGUGAAAAAUAAAAAGGCAGGACAGAGAUUACAGCUAAAAAAAAAUGCAGGACAAAAUUUUUCAUCCUAGCCCCCCCAUAAAAAUCAAAUGGUAGCUCCCUAAUAUAAUCAAAGUGAUGGAAAUCACUCAUGGAAAGAUUAGAAGAGUAGUUUGAAUUAUUUCAUAUUAAGGUACGGUGGGGAAAAAUGAACAUUUAUAAAGCACUAUUGCUGAAAAUUGCAUUUACAGCAGGUCUUUAGAAGGAAACUUGCUUUUCCAGUAUGAGGAUAAAAUGAGCUCAAAUUAAAUAAUAUGGGUCUCUUAAUUUGCACAAUUUUAUUUAAACUGCAGUUUAUGUCUUAUCGAAAAUUAUGUUGCCGGUUCUGAACAUG